AUUGAACGCUGGCGGCAGGCUUAACACAUGCAAGUCGAGCGGAGAUGAGGUGCUUGCACCUUAUCUUAGCGGCGGACGGGUGAGUAAUGCUUAGGAAUCUGCCUAUUAGUGGGGGACAACAUUCCGAAAGGAAUGCUAAUACCGCAUACGUCCUACGGGAGAAAGCAGGGGAUCUUCGGACCUUGCGCUAAUAGAUGAGCCUAAGUCGGAUUAGCUAGUUGGUGGGGUAAAGGCCUACCAAGGCGACGAUCUGUAGCGGGUCUGAGAGGAUGAUCCGCCACACUGGGACUGGGACACGGCCCAGACUCCUACGGGAGGCAGCAGUGGGGAAUAUCGGACAAUGGGGGGAACCCUGAUCCAGCCAUGCCGCGUGUGUGAAGAAGGCCUUAUGGUUGUAAAGCACUUUAAGCGAGGAGGAGGCUACUGAGACUAAUACUCUUGGAUAGUGGACGUUACUCGCAGAAUAAGCACCGGCUAACUCUGUGCCAGCCGCCGCAGUAAAAC
rnacentral:rRNA from 1 species